rnacentral:tRNA from 1 species
GGAGGGCAAAGUGACGGUGGCGUCACGGCCGGCCGCUACCCGGCAGACGCUUCGGCGUUGGGGUUCGACUCCUCUGUCCUCCGCCA